GCCUACAGAGUAGUCAGUUCACCCCGCAGCAAGUUUGUUGAAGAUACAAAUAUUCUUCGUGAGAGAGCCGAUGAGCAGAAAAGCAAUCCUUGGUCAAGAAAGGACACAAGGGAAAUCUCUUUCCAAACCUGAGGAAGUUAAAUACAAACAAAGGACAAUCGUUUACCAUUGAGUACAUUGCAGCCUACCUUGGGAUGACUUUGUACCUUCUAUUGUAAAACUCCAUUUGUAAGGUGAUGCAGAAGAGGUGGAUGAGGUCACUGGAGCAGAGAAGGCCACGGAAGAGGCUGAGGCAGCAGCUGCUGUGGAACCUGCAGCACAGGAGGAGAGUGCUGGACCCACAGCACAGGAUGAGAGUUCUGGGGUGCCCCCAGAAGCUGGAGGGGAGAAUGACUUGCUGGCUCCAGAGGAAUCCCAUGCUGUGGAGGAGGCACAGCAGGAAGCUGCUGCUAAUUCAGAAGCUGAUGCUAAUUUGGAACUUGCUGAUAAUUCAGAAGCUGCUGCAGUUCAAGCUUCUGAGGAGGAGAAGACAACUGAAGAGGUUGCUAAAGAGCCCUAAAGUAAGCAGUGUGGACACCUUUGGAAAGUAUAAUGCAAAUAUUUGUGGCAAUCAACCAGCUGAUUCCUGUGUGAAACCUCAUCAUACUCUUCCUUGGAGACAUCGAAGAAACUGUGCAGUUUGUCCUACCACACACUGGCCAUUCUGGCCAGUACUAUCCAGUGCUGCAAGAGAUGAAUUGUGCUGCCUAGAGAAACGCUUCUGUGACUAA
rnacentral:lncRNA from 1 species